GUAGUAGCAAAUACUCUAACGAGACCCUAGAGGUCUGAAGCGGAGAAGGGUUUCGUGUGAACAGCUGUUGCACACGAGUCAGUCGAUCCUAAGCCCACGGGGAAACCCGAAACAUGCGAGCCAAAGGCCGCGUGUGGCGAUAGGGAAUCCGGUGCCCAUUCCGGAACCCGGCCGCGGAACCGUAAACGUCGUGCCCCACCUUCGGGUGGCAGCACGUUGUGGUAACACAAAUCAACCCGGAGACGCCGUCGGGAGGUCGGGGAAGAGUUUUCUUUUCUGUUUUUGCGCCCGGGCUCCCUGGAAUAGCCUAGAGCUGAGAGAGGGAGUGGGGCGCGUAGAGCACCGCAGUUGCGGCGGUGUCCCGACAUUCCCUUCGGACCUUGAAAAUCCGGGGGCGGGAGACGUGGAGGUAUCGCGCCGGUUCGUACCCAUAUCCGCAGCAGGUCUCCAAGGUGAAGAGCCUCUAGACGAUAGAAGAAUGUGGAUAAGGGAAGUCGGCAAAUUAGAUCCGUAACUUCGGAACAAGGAU
rnacentral:rRNA from 1 species